CGUAACACCUCCAGUGCCCCGCAGGACAGCAGGAGCAUCCGAGAGAGGACAGAGGGUGGUUUGGAAGGACAGAGGCUCAGCUCAUGGGGAACUCUGGGAAGACAGGAGGAAGACAAGGGCCGGGGUCAGGGGAGCUUGGCAGGGCUCCAGCGGCUCCAGGGGGCCCCAGCUCCUUGCACUUCUCCCCCAGCCAGUGGAGAGUUCGGAGUUCCGUUUCUGAAGCUUAGAGCUUUGUAAGGGUGACUGCUGGCUCCUGGCGGCCAUCGCCUCCCUGACCCUGAACGAGAAGCUGCUGUCCCGCGUGGUGCCCGGGGGACCAGAGCUUCCAGGAGAACUACGCAGGCAUCUUCCGUUUCCAGUUCUGGCAGUAUGGCGAGGUGGGUGGAGGUGGUGGUGGACG
rnacentral:lncRNA from 1 species